UACCAAAUGUCACUCGUUUGACUUCUAUAUGAUUGCUUAAAUUUCAUUCAUGUCAAUCCUUUUUGAUCCUGUCAGUUGUACCUUUUCAUUUGCAAGUACAAGUUGUGUAUAUGUAUUUAUUAUACCUCUGUUGCAAUAUUCCUUUAUCAUUCAAAAGCAUUGUGCAUUAACAUUUUGAAGUGUCCACAAAUGUGUAAAACAAAGAUUGACAUGUCUCUGUUGUUUUUUUUCAGCAGUGAGAACAUUGUGCUCAUGACACACAGCAGAAGAGAAGCAGAGCUUGGUCUAUGACUGUAUGUGGAAGAAGCAGACUGACUUGAUUCCAACCAGCCAGAAAAGGACACGUAGAUAUUGAUCGCAACCAAUUCUGAAAAGAUUUAUAUAUUUUGACGGAAUUGUAAUUUUUCUGCAAAUAAGAUCUAUUAUGUAGUUUGCUAUUUUCCCAGAUUAACUUUAAACAAUGUAAAAACUUAAGCUCAAAUUACAUUGUAUUUACAUUAAGUCAAUCAGAUUGUGAGAGCAGACAAGUGUAAAAUUGCAAUUUUGUGAAAGUAAAACUGUAAAAAUUGAAA